GAUGAACGCUGGCGGCGUGCCUAAUACAUGCAAGUAGAACGCUGAAGGAAGGAGCUUGCUCUUUCCGGAUGAGUUGCGAACGGGUGAGUAACGCGUAGGUAACCUGCCUGGUAGCGGGGGAUAACUAUUGGAAACGAUAGCUAAUACCGCAUAACAGUAGAUGUUGCAUGAUAUCUACUUAAAAGGUGCAAUUGCACCACUACCAGAUGGACCUGCGUUGUAUUAGCUAGUUGGUGAGGUAACGGCUCACCAAGGCGACGAUACAUAGCCGACCUGAGAGGGUGAUCGGCCACACUGGGAAGGAGACACGGCCCAGACUCCUGCGGGAGGCAGCAGUAGGGAAUCUUCGGCAAUGGACGGAAGUCUGACCGAGCAACGCCGCGUGAGUGAAGAAGGUUUUCGGAUCGUAAAGCUCUGUUGUAAGAGAAGAACGAGUGUGAGAGUGGAAAGUUCACACUGUGACGGUAUCUUACCAGAAAGGGACGGCUAACUACGUG
rnacentral:rRNA from 1 species